UCUCCCAUCCAAGUGCUAACCAGGUCUGACCCUGCUUAGCUUCUGAGAUCAGAUGAGAUUGUGUGCAUUCAGGGUG
rnacentral:sRNA from 1 species